rnacentral:rRNA from 1 species
UACAGAGGUCCCAAGCGUUGUUCGGAUUCACUGGGCGUAAAGGGUGCGCAGGUGGUCGGGUAAGUCUGAUGUGAAAUCUCCGAGCUCAACUCGGAAAUGGCAUUGGAUACUAUUCGGCUAGAGGGUUGGAGGGGGGACUGGAAUUCUCGGUGUAGCAGUGAAAUGCGUAGAUAUCGAGAGGAACACCAGUGGCGAAGGCGGCGAUCUGGGUCGAUACUGACGCUGAGGUGCGAAAGCGUGGGGAGCAAACAGG